rnacentral:tRNA from 1 species
GGCCCCUUGGUCAAGCGGUUAAGACACCGGCCUUUCACGCCGGCAACACGGGUUCGAAUCCCGUAGGGGUCACCA